CCCGAAUCCCCCUGUUCGGAUGCUCGGAGUCUCUUCAUGAGGGUGGUGACUCUGACAGCUUUCUGUGAGUAAUCAAAUACAAGCACACUCCCCAUGUGUGAAGAUGCUCACUCAGAGACCGUGUUAGAGCGAGAGAGCGAGAGAGUCGGGGACAAACAUAACACUUCUCUCCAUCUGUGACCUCCCAGCUUCUCCAUCCACUCUGUCAAUGCAAGUGCAACAAUGGAGGAGUGUGACAGAGCGAGGAAGAUUGCCUCGUUAUUCAGGUGCCGCACUGCAGAAAAACAUGUGCGAGGUACAGCCUCAAAGGCCGACAUGAUCGAGCUGUAGUCCAAAUGAGGUGGAUUCCUAACACAGCUACUGGACAGAUGUACUGAAGUCUUUGUCAAGUGCCUGAAUAAGAGAAAAGAAAAAGUAAGUUCAUCUACUUUGUUAAAAAAAACGUACAACAAAUUGUUGCCGUGUGGUAUUUACAGCAUAGCGCCGUUUGUGAGUGUGUAAAUGUAAAAUAUUUAUAAAUAUGUAGACUCAAAGACAACAGAAUUAAUAUUUGAACAGGCUUUAGGGGGUUUCCUUCUAUUUUCUUCAGCUAUUGCUCAUUCUGGGUUGGCCCCUGGGUCCCGUGUGUGUGUGUGUGUGUUCUUGCAAAAGUGUGUGUCUGCGUGUGUAGUGAUUUAGAUAUUACUGGCGUUGGGCCGAAUUCUGGUAUCCUCAAAGCCGUCACGUUCAGGGGAAAAAAAAUAAUCCACUGAGUGGCAAACGUUUGCAAGUGUUUGCAAAGAUAGUGAAUGUUGAUUUUUCAUCAAGGUUUGUUCAAAGUUGCAAACGCUCACAAAAACAUUCUCCAGAUGUUCGCCAAACUUUCUAUUUACAACCACUCCAACUGUUGACGAAUGUCUGGUAACGCUUCAACAAUGGCUUUUGUUAAUAAUUCCAAGGAUGAAUUGUGCAGACAGUAAAAGCAAUUGUAUUCUUGCUUGUGGAUGCAGCCCUUAAUCCCCAAGCCACUGAAUUACAUAGCCAUUGAAUAGUCUUCACUAUUAAAACACAUAUGAAAUCGAUUUUGAAUUGCAGCAGCAGAAUUUUCACUUUGUGUUUAUUCAAGACUCAUGGGGGCAAAGCAAAGGGAGAGAAUACAAAAAAAUGUACAACAAUGUUAUUUACACUUGAACCUUUACUGAAGGGAAGAGAAUGCCGUAAGAAGAGGCCUGGAAAUAGUCCUUAACUUGAAAAAUUAGCCUUGAAAGUCAUUACCAUAAUAAAAAGACACAAUGAUGAGUUGUCCAGCGGUUUAGCAGAUUUUGCAUGCUUGGGGGGUGUUUGUGUAACACCUUUAUUGUAAUGUUGACGUAGUGAGGCGCAUCACUGCGGCAGCUUCACAGCAGUAACGGCAAAAGACAAUCUCGGGUGCCCUCUAGCGCUGAUUAAAUAUACUUUUUCAACCUCAGGCGUCGUGUAUAAAGCACACCACUACAAAUAGACUGAGUUCAUCUUCAUCCAGUGGACUGCUUUUCACAUGUAGAUAUGAUCCCUCUAUAUUGCUAACUAUGUCCACAAAAGUUGUUCCCUGAGCUUAAGGUAGUUAAUGCCACCGUACUUACAUAAAUGGUUAAAAAUCUGUCGAGACAAAAGUUUACAUUCAUUUGGCCUUACUUGUAUUUCACAUCCGUUUUUGUUUUUUAUUUCAAGCUCUAUUUUGUCUCAAGACCCUUUGUUGUAACAGGAUGUGGAACUUUCACAGUCUCACAAAUCAUUUGCUGGAUUUAUACUGCAUGUCUAAGAGGCUUAUUCCAAUUUGAUUUAAAUCUAUGUUUUUUUUGUAAUGACAGGCAGAAUAAUUCAAUGCUCUUCCACUGGACGGCAGAAGGUAAAAUUGUCAUUCAUA